UACGGAGGGGGCCAGCGUUGUUCGGAAUCAUUGGGCGUAAAGGGCGCGUAGGCGGUCGAGUAAGUCUGACGUGAAAUCCCUUGGCUCAACCAAGGAACUGCGUCUUAAACUGCUCGGCUUGAGUCCGGGAGAGGGUAGUGGAAUUCCCAGUGUAGCGGUGAAAUGCGUAGAUAUUGGGAGGAACACCGGUGGCGAAGGCGGCUACCUGGACCGGUACUGACGCUGAGGCGCGAAAGCUAGGGUAGCAAACAGG
rnacentral:rRNA from 1 species